GGGUGAUUAGCUCAGCUGGGAGAGCAUCUGCCUUACAAGCAGAGGGUCGGCGGUUCGAUCCCGUCCUCAACCACCA
rnacentral:tRNA from 1 species